rnacentral:lncRNA from 1 species
UGUUUGUUUAUUUCUCCUUUUCUGUGUUUGACUUCUGAAUAUUCUCUUUGCUUGCUUUGGUAAAAGUCUUUGUUUAGUAUCUUCCUUGUGUUUAGAAGAGAUUUUGCAACAUACAUUUUCAUAAAGGAAGUUCAUGGUGUUUUGCACUUCAAGACUUUGCUUGCACACUCCUCCUACAAGAAGUCUUACAAAAUGCCUUUAUUGACUGGAAUGCUACAGGAUGGACCUUCGUCUUGGGUCCCUUCUGCUGAAAGCCCGGAGAAGGAAAGGCUGCAGUGCUUUUUCCUUUGGAUCAGUUCUUUAUCCAGAAUGCCAGAUGGACAAAACCACCAACUGGAAAGGAGAUCUGCCAAAGAAGAGGGAAAAUAUUUUCAUAUGUGUUAUACAGCUGAUUGGCAUAGAACUUAAUCUCAGCACCUGCUGGCUGGUGGAAACAUUUACACCCGGUGAAACUCGUGGUGUGAGGGGAAUUUCUGCCUCAUUUUUAAGAGUAACAGCCUUGAACAUAGUUUUGUGUCUUCGUCUCCAGUGUCCUCUGCUGAACAGAAGAAGACUGCUCAGCUUCUUUUAG